UCCCCACAGGAGGCUCUCCAGAGCAUCGCCACCGACCCCGGGCUGUACCAGAUGCUGCCGCGCUUCAGCACCUUCAUCUCUGAGGGGGUGCGCGUCAACGUGGUUCAGACCAACCUGGCGCUGCUGAUUUACCUGAUGGGGAUGGUGAAGGCUCUGAUGGACAACCCGACCCUGUACCUGGAGAAAUGCAUGUCCCCGUGGGCCCGGUCGGGGCGGUGGCCCUGGAGCGGAACCUCUCGGGUCGCUUCGAGUCACGAUUCGUGACCGUGCGGGUGGAGCCGGGCCCGGCGCUGAUGCUGCGGGGCAUGGAGGGGGCGCGGCUCGGGGUCUGGGUGGCUGCACGGGGAAGGUACUGGGCAAACUGGUU